CGUGCCGGAGCUACGCGUUAGUGUUCCGCCUGGGGAGUACGGUCGCAAGGCUGAACUCAAAGGAAUUGACGGGGGCCCGCACAAGCGGUGGAGCAUGUGGUUUAAUUCGACGCAACGCGAAGAACCUUACCUGGGCUUGAACUGCAGUGGACCGCGGUAGAGAUAUCGCUUUUCGCAAGAACUGCUGCAGAGGUGCUGCAUGGCUGUCGUCAGCUCGUGUCGUGAGAUGUUGGGUUAAGUCCCGCAACGAGCGCAACCCUUACCUCUAGUUGCCAGCGCGUCAAGGCGGGAACUCUAGAGGGACUGCCCGGGUUAACCGGGAGGAAGGUGGGGAUGAUGUCAAGUCCUCAUGGCCCUUAUGUCCAGGGCUACACACGUGCUACAAUGGGCGAUACAAACCGUUGCGAUGCCGCGAGGUGGAGCUAAUCGGAGAAAGUCGUCCUCAGUUCGGAUUGCACUCUGCAACUCGAGUGCAUGAAGUUGGAAUCGCUAGUAAUCGUGUAUCAGAAUGAUACGGUGAAUACGUUCCCGGGCCUUGUACACACCGCCCGUCACAUCACGAAAGCCGGGAGCACUUGAAGAGGCUGUGGUAACCCGCAAGGGAGCUAGGUCUCAAUGGUGAACUUGGUGAUUGGGGUGAAGUCGUAACAAGGUA
rnacentral:rRNA from 1 species